rnacentral:rRNA from 1 species
AUUGAACGCUGGCGGCAGGCCUAACACAUGCAAGUCGAGCGGUAGAGCGAAGCUUGCUUCUCUUGAGAGCGGCGGACGGGUGAGUAAUGCCUAGGAAUCUGCCUGGUAGUGGGGGAUAACGUUCGGAAACGAACGCUAAUACCGCAUACGUCCUACGGGAGAAAGCAGGGGACCUUCGGGCCUUGCGCUAUCAGAUGAGCCUAGGUCGGAUUAGCUAGUUGGUGAGGUAAUGGCUCACCAAGGCGACGAUCCGUAACUGGUCUGAGAGGAUGAUCAGUCACACUGGAACUGAGACACGGUCCAGACUCCUACGGGAGGCAGCAGUGGGGAAUAUUGGACAAUGGGCGAAAGCCUGAUCCAGCCAUGCCGCGUGUGUGAAGAAGGUCUUCGGAUUGUAAAGCACUUUAAGUUGGGAGGAAGGGCAUUAACCUAAUACGUUAGUGUUUUGACGUUACCGACAGAAUAAGCACCGGCUAACUCUGUG